GUCGUGAGACAGGUUUGUUGCUUGGUGGUUGAAGUGUUUAGUGUCUGAUGGAAGGGGCCCUUCAGUACGAGAGGAACGAGGGCUCGGGGCCACUAGUUUACCAGUUGUCUGACAAGGCAAUGCUGGGUAGCCACGCCCUGAAGGAUAAGAGCUGAAAGCAUCUAAGCUCGAAGCCACCCCAAAAACGAGACACAUACGGAUCACUCGUAGAAGACGAGAUGAUAGACUGCGGAUGUAAGCAUGAAGCUUCGGCGACGUGUUCAGUCCAGCAGCACUAAGGAUCCAGCAACUACUUUU
rnacentral:rRNA from 1 species